CUACGGAGGGUGCAAGCGUUACUCGGAAUCACUGGGCGUAAAGCGCGCGCAGGCGGGCUGAUAAGUUGGAUGUGAAAGCCUACGGCUCAACCGUAGAACUGCAUCCAAAACUGUCAGCCUAGAGUCUGGGAGGGGAAGAUGGAAUUAGUUGUGUAGGGGUAAAAUCCGUAGAGAUAACUAGGAAUACCAAAAGCGAAGGCGAUCUUCUGGAACAGUACUGACGCUGAGGCGCGAAAGCGUGGGGAGCAAACAGGAUUAGAAACCCUAGUAGUCC
rnacentral:rRNA from 1 species